rnacentral:lncRNA from 1 species
GACAGGCUAGGGGAUGGGAUCCUCUACCUUUUUCAGGCCUCUGCAGACACCAGACACACAUAAUGGUGCACAUACAUGUGUUCAGGCAAAACGCUAAUAUACAUAAAAAAUAAAAACAAAUAAAUCUGGUUUUUCAAUCAGAUAAAUUCCCAGAGGAAGUCACUCCACCUGUUACUAGAUAAUUUUGUGCCCUGGGCUGAUGGUACUGUGAUGUUGGGAAGUGUUGCUAGAGGCUGGCAGUGUGGUCUUUCCUGUGUUUGCAAGCCCCCCACUUUUAAAUUCAGUGGGAGUAACUGCAUGUUCCCUCCUGUUAACAGAACAGCUUCUCUCUGCAGUUAGCUCAUAAAACAGCUUCCUUAGAAUAGAAUGGAAACCCACUUUCAAGUUAGGAGGUGAUGAGAACGGAUGCUUGAGAGAUGAAUGUCAGCAGCACAAAGCUGUCCCCUUUGCCUUUCUUUCUCAUUAGCAAGAAGUAGACCCUGGGCUGGCCAGAUGGCUCAACUGCUGAGAGCUCUUGCUGCAUCUCCAGGAGACCCAAGUUCCAUUCCUAACACCCAUGACACAGCCCAUAACCCCUAACUCCAGUUCCAGGAGAUCUAAUGCCCUCUUCUAGUCUCCCUUGGCAUCUGUGCACACAUGGCAUUCACUAACACAGUUACACAUAAAUAAUAAUAUUAAUCGUGAAGCAGACAAGGAAGUACUCAAAAAGUUACAUAAUGUGCGUCAUUCCUGAAUUUUCCCAAUAACUGUCACUUGAAAACAGAGGGAACUGACUUUCUCUCGUAUGUUUAAAGUGACUGUCGUGGUUCAAUCUUGUUGGCCCAAAUCUCCAUCCUAGGCAAAUAUUCCCCAGUCGUUACAGCUGCCCAAUGCUGUUAGUCAUGGCUGCCAUAACUAGAACAUUUAACUCAAGACAACUCCCACAGUUCCACUGUGAGACUGUAAGACUGGGAAUUUAUCUAAUUAAAAAGUCAGUCUUGCUGUUUUACUAUGAAACUUGACAGAAAUGUACCACAGCAACAAAACUAGGAAUCACGGUUGACUUCCUCCCACAUCAAAAACUUCCAGUCCGACUUCUGCUUUAAUAGCAUGUUAGAAGCUCUUGCAUUUCCUUAACCUAGAGAGCCAGCGUUCCUAUGCAGUGGCUCCCCAUUCUGGUCUCAUGGAGGUGCCCCCAUCACCACAACACCCCUCCCCCGUGAUAGCCUUCUUUCCACCUCAGCCUGGGAGCAUUGACCUCAUCCUUCAGCAGGUACAUACACCUCAACUUCCACAUGUGACCUGUAGCUCUGUCAUAAGAAUCAACUUCCCAAGCUCUCCGCAUAGUCCCAGACUUGAGAGUAGCUUAUUGCCACCGGCAAACUCGUAGUCCUUACCCACCUGUUCUUUGGUCAGUUAUGGGGCAUUUUAAUUUACAUAAGUAAUGAUUUUUUUUUUUUGCUGCUAAUAUGAACACCAGUUAUAUUUUUAACCAAAAGAAAAAAAGUAAGGCCUAGAAGGAAGAUAAUGGAUUGAGGACAUUGUCAUUCCCACCCUGAUAGCACUUGGAAAGAGACAUUUCCUCCCUGGUGCCCACUACAGGAAUUGUGGGUGAUUUUUAAGUAACUACUGGACUGCCUAGGAAGAUAUUCCCAGAGUCCGAAAGGAACUAUGCACAUAGAGAAAAUACAGUUUUCUCCUACCUAAGGAAACUAUUAGUAUUCUAUUAGCUUAUAUUUUUAAUAACUAAGCUUAAAACAUAGUUUAUUUUGGAUAUUACUAGAACUUGCAGCAAUUCUAAUAUCUGUCAGGUACUCAUAGAAUCUAUGGGGAAAAAAAAGAUAAGACUGUGUGAUUAGGAAACUUUGUGAGUCAUGGCAUGGCCAGCCAGUGUCACAAAGCAACCCUGUGCUUGGCUAGCUUUAAGCAUUACAGACUUAGUACAUGAAAAGACUUAAUUAUAUUGGGUUCAGGAACUAAAGAGUCAAUGAGUCAUCUGUGGAGGUCAACAAAUAACACACUGGUGGGCUUUUUGUCCUCCGUCAAGCUGGUGACUAUAGUGAAAUGAAGCAGGAAGUGUAGCAUAUUCCCCAGGAUGCUAGUUCCAGACUGAACCAGCAGACUGAAUUCACAGCACGUGUGUGUCAAUUGAACUAGCCUAGUUCAUUAUCACCUCUACUUUCUGGGCAGUUGCCAGGAUGCAGGAGAUGAAGAAAGCUACAAAGCACUGCUCUCUUUGAGAUUCUAGGUUUUCUUUUCUUCUCAUCAUGGUAAUGAGGGGCAGUGAAGCCAGAGGUUUAAAUGAGCAUAGACCCAUGGUGGAUGGGGUAUGUAGCUUAGAUGGAAGACUGCUUGCUUAGAGUGCCCGAAGCCAUGGCUUCCUUCACCACAUAAACUAGGACGGUGGAGUGUGCUUAGAAUCCUAGCAUUUGGGAGGUGGAAGUGGGAAGAUCGGGAGUUAAGGGUCAACCAGGGAUACGUGGGACCCUGUCUUACCAUGUGUGGAAGAAAUGCAGGAAAAAUGUAUUGUUCUCUCCCUGAAUAAUUAUGUCCGUUUACAAUAAAUAAUGGUGGCAGAC